UGGGGAAUUUUGGACAAUGGGGGAAACCCUGAUCCAGCCAUCCCGCGUGUGCGAUGAAGGCCUUCGGGUUGUAAAGCACUUUUGGCAGGAAAGAAACGUCAUGGGUUAAUACCCCGUGAAACUGACGGUACCAGCAGAAUAAGCACCGGCUAACUACGUGCCAGCAGCCGCGGUAAUACGUAGGGUGCAAGCGUUAAUCGGAAUUACUGGGCGUAAAGCGUGCGCAGGCGGUUCGGAAAGAAAGAUGUGAAAUCCCAGAGCUCAACUUUGGAACUGCAUUUUUAACUACCGUGCUAGAGUGUGUCAGAGGGAGGUGGAAUUCCGCGUGUAGCAGUGGAAUGCGUAGAUAUGCGGAGGAACACCGAUGGCGAAGGCAGCCUCCUGGGAUAACACUGACGCUCAUGCACGAAAGCGUGGGGAGCAAACAGG
rnacentral:rRNA from 1 species